UUAGGAAUCUUGCACAAUGGGCGAAAGCCUGAUGCAGCGACACCGCGUGGAGGAUGAAGGUCUUCGGAUCGUAAACUCCUUUUCCCUGGGACGAUUAUGACGGUACCAGGGGAAUAAGCACCGGCUAACUAUGUGCCAGCAGCCGCGGUAAUACAUAGGGUGCAAGCGUUAUUCGGAAUAACUGGGCGUAAAGGGCGUGUAGGUGGCUUCAGAAGUCCGGCGUUAAAUCUUUCGGCUCAACCGAGAGCUCGCGUUGGAAACCAUGGAGCUAGAGUUUUGCAGGGGUAAGCGGAAUUCCGGGUGUAGCAGUGAAAUGCGUUGAUAUCCGGAGGAACACCAAUGGCGAAGGCAGCUUACUAGGCAAUUACUGACACUGAGGCGCGAAAGCGUGGGGAGCGAACAGG
rnacentral:rRNA from 1 species